UGUGGACUGUGGUUAAGAGCUGCCACUCUGGACACAUUUUUCUUUUAAACUAUAAUGGCUAACGUUUCUGGAGAGAUUCUGUGCUAGGCCCGGGGCUAAGAAUCUUCUGCUCCCCUCAGUUUAUCUGUUCUGCUUUACAGAUGACAAAACUAAGGCUCAGAGACGGGAAGUGACUUGCCUAAGGCCACAAAGGAGGGGCUGUCAUUUGAGCCCAAAUCUGACUGCAGAGUUUAAGGGCUUCACCCCAUACCUCUGCCUCCUUCCGGGAGUCCCAGAAAGGACGACAGAAUUCUGGAGCCCUGGAGCCUGCGACUGUCAUGUUCCUGCCAGGAGCUCAGGGGUCUGAGGAGCCAAGGAGCCUGUCCCUAGGCACGUGCAAAUCCAGAGGCAUCGUCCAGACGCUGGCCACCCCAGGCCACCUGGCAUCUUAGCUCCCCCUGGGUACUAACUACCCUACUAUCUCCUGUCUCUCCUCGCCCCGCCCCACCACCCGGGGAACUGGGACUUAUCAAGACAAAGAACAAAAGUCGUGGGGGAAAGAAGCCAAGAGCCAUCUCCACUCUGGGGUAGGGCCCUCCAGUUUCGCCCCUUUGAAAUUUCAAAUUCCAGUUUGUGGACAAAGUCCUAACUUUCUCACAAUAUAGGUCCCCAACCACUGACCAAACUCCAGUCCAGGCAGCCAGCAGGCCCGGGGCUGGUCCGGCCUUGCUGUCUUUCCCCUGGCAGUUCUCAAGUCCGGGGGGAGGGGUCCUGGGCCAACUGGGGCCUGCCAGGCCAUCCCCGCAGCCCUACUCCACCCCACCCCACAGGGACCCCUGCCUCCCAUCUGAGAGGACAGCUCUCUUCCCGGAGCUGGGAUCUGACGCUUGCUGGUGCCAACAGCAGAUACCAGGCGCAUGACCGGAUUACGCUUUCUUGCUUCCUUUGAAGUUAGACGUGACCAUGUGACUUGUUCUGGCCAAUGAAAUGAGAGCAGAAACAACUGGUGCUUCACACCCGGGCAGAAGCUUGAAGGGUCCGCGCUGGGGCUGUUUCAGAAGCACGUACGGAUAUGGAGUCAUCAGGGUGGGGAGUGCACCCCGCCAGCCCCUGACGGAGAAGUACUGUAAGUGAGCCAUCGGCUCAGCUGUGUAAGCCACUGGGACUUAGGGCCUUUUUGUCAUUAUAGCUCAGCCUCACCUAACUUGACUGCACAGGAUCUUUCCAAAGGUCACUGAUUUUCCUCUGGCCCUUAUGAUUUUUGUUGUAUUCGGAAACCUCCCAUACUAAUACUAAACAUUUUUCUUACAUCAACA